AGACCCGGAAGCGGAUCGCGGGGAGUGAAGGCUGCGCCGCCGAGCCUGAGUUUCGCUCUCUCUAGAUUAAAUCUGCGCUUCGCAGUCCCCCUUCUUCCAUCCCCCGGGUCUGGAGGGGUCCCUACAGAUCUUAAAAUGACCACACCGCGCCCUCCACCCCAGAUUAACCUUUAAAGACUCAUGUGGCCUGAGGAAGAAGUCCAGAAGAGAAGAAAGAGGAGACAGGGAUGGCUCUUUCUCAAGCUGGAGUACAGUGGUGCGAUCUUGGCUCACUGCAGCCUCUGCCUCCCGGGUUCAAGUGAUUUUCCUGCCUCAGCCUCCCGAGUAGCUGGGACUACAGGUGCCCGCCAUUUCACCACGUUGCCCAGGCUGGUCUCGAACUCUUGACCUCAGGGAAGGUUGACAUUCAGGGACGUGGCCAUCGAAUUCUCUCAGGAGGAGUGGAAAUGCCUGGACCCUGCUCAGAGGGCUUUGUACAGGGACGUGAUGUUGGAGAACUACAGGAACCUGGUCUCCCUGGGAAUCUCUCUUUCUGAAAUGAGUAUUACCUCCAUGUUGGGGCAAGGGAAAGAGCCCUGGACUGUGGAGAGUGAAGUGAAAAUAACAAAAACAUCAAGUGGUUGGGAAUGCAUCAAAGGUGUGAACACAGGUAAGAGCUCAAAUGGACAGAGAGGAAGCUGCACCAUUAGUAUUCAGGUAACUCCUUCCGAGUUGAAGAGUUCUGUGGAACAAAAAGGGUUUAAAUCCUGUGAGCUCUCAAUGGAAACCUUUCUUUGCCCUCAUUUAUCCCUCUGCUCUUCUGACGUGUAGUAGUUUAUCCUUUCACACUCCCAUGGCGCUACAGCUCCAACAGUGACAAAGGCAAAGUCUUUAUCAUGAUGGACAACACCCUGUCAUGUGGCUUCUGUGACCUCUUUGGUUUCUUCACUCUGAGGGGCACAGGGAGGGUUGUGUCCAAGAGGUCUCCUGUGAUCUCUCCUGUACCUGACUGCGUCUGAUGCUCAGUUCUCUGUCUAUACAGAUCAGAGCUGAGGCCUCCAUGGACCUGCCCCCUUGACCUAUUCAGGUUUUGCCCCAUUUCCUGUACUUGGGAGACCUAAUCAGGUGACGGGAAAACAUUGGCAGCUCCUCCUUUGCAUCUGGGGCUCCGGAAACCUCAUGGUGCUGUCUCCAGCCCUGUCUGUCUGUCAAAGUCUUUCAGCCUCAGUCAUUUCUUCUGUUCUGCUUUUGCCACAGAUUGCAGUGUGCGCCACAGGGGAGUACACGGGGUUUUCUGAGAUUGUUUACUCAGGUCUGGAAUGGCACUAGACAGAGAGGUCCUCUUUUUUUUUUUCUUCGAGACAGAGUCUGGCUCUCUUGCCCAGGCUGUGAUGCAGUGGUGAGAUCUCAACUCACUGGAACCUCUGCCUCCCAGGUUCAAGUAAUUCUCUUCCCUCAGCCUCCUGAGUAGCUGGAACUACAGGCACAUGUCACCACACCUGGCUAAUUUUUGUAUUUUUUUAAAAAUUAUUAUACUUUAAGUUUUGGCAUACAUGUGCAGAACGUGCAGGUUUGUUACAUAGGUAUACGUGUGCCAUGGAGGUUUGCUGCACCCAUCAACCCGUCAUCUAUAUUAGGUAUUUCUCCUAAUGCUAUCCCUCCCCUACCUCCCCAUCCCCUCCACAGGCCCUGGUAUGUGAUGUUCCCCCUCCCUGUGUCCAUGUGUUCUCAUUGUUCAACUCCCACUUAUGAGUGAGAACAUGCAGUGUUUGGUUUUCUGUUGUGUUAGUUUGCUGAGAAUGAUGGUUUCCAGCUUCAUCCAUGUCCCUGCAAAGGACAUGGACUUAUCCUUCUUUAUGGCUGCAUAGUAUUCCAUGGUGUAUAUGUGCCAUAUUUUCAUUAUCCAGAAACUAAUAUUUCUGGAUAAUGGGCAUUUGGGUUGGUUCCAAGUCUUUGCUGUUGUGAAUAGUGCCACAAUAAACAUACGUGUGCAUGUGUCUUUGUAGUAGAAUGAUUUAUAAUCCUUUGGGUAUAUACCCAGUAAUGGGAUUGCUGGGUCAAAUGGUAUUUCUAGUUCUACAUCCUUGAGGAAUUGCCACACUGUCUUCCACAAUGGUUAAACUAAUUUACACUCCCACCAACAGUGUAAAAGCAUUCCUAUUUCUCCACAUCCUCUCCAGCAUCUGUUGUUUCCUGACAUUUUAAUGAUCAGCAUUCUAACUGGCAUGAGAUGCUUUCUCAUUGUGGUUUUGAUUUGUGUUUCUCUAAUGACCAGUGAUGAUGAGCUUUUUUUCAUAUGUUUCUUGGCCACAUAAAUGUCUUCUUUUGAGAAGUGUCUGUUCAUAUCCUUCGCAUAGAUGUUCAUGAGGGAUAUUGGCCUGAAAUUUUCUUUUUUUGUUGUGUGUCUGCCAGGUUUUGGUAUCAGGAUGAUGCUGGCCUCAUUAAAAUGAAUUAGGGAGGAUUCCCUCUUUUUCUGUUUGGAAUAGUUUCAGAAGGAAUGGUACCAGCUCCUCUUUGUACCUCUGGUAGAAUUCGGCUGUGAAUCUGUCUGGUCCUGGACUUUUUUUGGUUGGUAGGCUAUUAAUUACCGCCUCAAUUUCAGAACUUGUUAUUGGUCUAUUCAGGGAUUCGACUUCUUCCUGGUUUAGUCUUGGGAGGGUGUAUGUAUCCAGGAAUUUAUCCAUUUCUUCUGGAUUUUCUAGUUUAUUUGUGUAGAGGUGUUUAUAGUAUUCUCUGAUGGUAGUUUGUAUUUCUGUGGGAUUGGUGGUGAUAUCCCCUUUAUAAUUUUUAUUGCAUCUAUUUGAUUCUUCUCUCUUUUCUUCUGUAUUAGUCUGGCUAGUGGUCUAUCUAUUUUGUUGAUCUUUUCAGAAAACCAGCUUCUGGAUUCGUCUAUUUUUUGAUGGAUUUUUCGUGCCUCUAUCUCCUUCACUUCUGCGCUGAUCUUAGUUACUUCUUGUCUUCUGCUAGCUUUUGAAUUUAUUUGCUCUUGCUUCUCUAGUUCUUUUAAUUGUGAUGUUAGGGUGUUGAUUUUAGAUCUUUCACGCUUUCUCUUGUGGGCAGUUAGUGCUAUAAAUUUCCCUCUACACAUUGCUUUUAAUGUGUCCCAGAGAUUCUGGUAUGUUGUGUCUUUGUUCUCAUUGGUUUCAAAGACUGCCUUCAUUUCAUUAUUUACCCAGUAGUCAUUCAGGAGAAGGUUGUUCAGUUUCCAUGUAGUUGUGCAGUUUUGAAUGAGUUUCUUAAUCCUGAGUUCUAAUUUGAUUGCACUGUGGUCUGAGAGACGGUUUGUUAUGAUUUCCAUUCUUUUGCAUUUGCUGAGAAGUGUUUUACUUCCAAUUAUGUGGUCAAUUUUAGAAUAAGUGCGAUGUGGUGCUGAGAAGAAUGUAUAUUCUGUUGAUUUGGGGUGGAGAGUUCUGUAGAUGUCUAUUAGGCCUGCUUGGUCCAGAGUUGAGUUCAAGUCCUGGAUAUCCUUGUUAGUUUUCUGUCUCAUUGAUCUGUUUAAUAUUGACAGUGGGGUGUUAAAGUCUCCCACUAUUAUUGUGUGGGAGUCUAAGUCUCUUUGUAGGUCUCCAAGAACUUGCUUUAUGAAUGUGGGUGCUCCUGUAUUGGGUGCAUAUAUAUUUAGUAUAGUUAGCUCUUCUGGUUGCAUUGAUCCUUUACCAUCAUGUAAUGCCCCUCUUUGUCUCUUUUGAUCUUUGUUGGUUUAAAGUCUGUUCUAUCAGAGACUAGGAUUGCAACCCCUGCUUUUUUUGCUUUCCAUUUGCUUGGUAGAUAUUCCUCCAUCCCUUUAUUUUGAGUAUAUGUGUGUCUUUGCAUGUGAGAUGGGUCUCCUGAAUACAGCACACCGAUGGGUCUUGACUCUUUAUCCAAUUUGCCAGUCUGUGUCUUUUAAUUGGGGCAUUUAGCCCAUUUACAUUUAAGGUUAAUAUUGUUACGUGUGAAUUUGAUCCUGUCAUUAUGAUGCUAGCUGGUUAUUUUGCUCAUUAGUUGAUGCAGUUUCUUCAUAGUGUCGAUGGUCUUUACAAUAUGGUAUGUUUUUGCAGUGGCUGGUACCAGUUGUUCCUUUCCAUGUUUAGUGCUUCCUUCCUUAUAAGGCAGGCCUGGUGGUGACAAAAUAUCUCAGCAUUAGCUUGUCUGUAAAGGAUUUGAUUUCUCCUUCACUUAUGAAGCUUAGUUUGGCUGGAUAUGAAACUCUGGGCUGAAAAUUCUUUUCUUUAAGAAUGUUGAAUAUUGGCCCCCACCCUCUUCUGGCUUGUAGAGUUUCUGCCAAGAGAUCUGCUGUUAGUCUUAGGGCUUCCCUUUGUGGGUAACCUGACCUUUCUCUCUGGCUGCCAUUAACAUUUUUUCCUUCAUUUCAACCUUGGUGAAUCUGACGAUUAUGUAUCUUGGGGUUGCUCUCCUUGAGGAGUAUCUUUGUGGUGUUGUCUGUAUUUCCUGAAUUUGAAUGUUGGCCUGUCUUGCUAGGUUGGAUAAGUUCUCCUAUAAUAAUAUCCUGAAGGGUAUUUUCCAACUUGGUUCCAUUCUCCCCAUCACUUUCAGGUACACCAAUCAAAUGUAGAUUUGGUCUUUUCACACAGUCCCAUAUAUCUUGGAGGCUUUGUUCAUUUCUUUUCACUCUUUCUUCUCUAAUCUUGUCUUCUCACUUUAUUUCAUUAAGUUGAUCUUCAAUCUCUGAUAUCCUUUCUGCUGCUUGAUCAAUUCAGUUAUUGAUACUUAUGUAUGCCUCAUGGAGUUCUCAUGCUGCGUUUUUCAGCUCCAUCAGGUCAUUUAUGUUCUUCUCUAAAGUGGUUAUUCUAGUUAGCAAUUCAUUUAACCUUUUUUCAAGGUUCUUUUCUUCCUUGCAUUGGGUUAGAACAUGCUCCUUUAGCUCAGAGGAGUUUGUUAUUACCCACCUUCUGAGGCCUACUUCUGUCAAUUCGUCAAACUCAUUCUCCUAGUUUUGUUCCCUUGCUGGUGAGGAGUUGUGAUUCUUUGGAACAGAAGAGGCAUUCUGGUUCUUUUUGUGCUGGUUUCUCCCCAUCUUUGUGGAUUUAUCUACCUUUGGUCUUUGAUAUUGGUGACCUUCAGAUGGGGUCUCUGAGUGGAUGUCCUUUUAGUUGAUGUUGAUACUAUUCCUGUUUGUUAGUUUUCCUUCUAACAGUCAGGCCCCUCUGCUCCACGUCUGCUGGAGUUUGCUGGGGGUCUACUCCAGACCCUGUUUGCCUGGGUAUCACCAGCAGAGACUGCAGAACAGCAAAGAUUGCUGCCUGUUCCUUCCUCUGGAAGCUUCAUCCCAGAGGGGCACCCGCCAGGUGCCAGCCAGAGCUCUCCUGUACGAGGUGUCUGUCGGCCCCCUACUGGGAGGUAUCUCUCAGUGAGGAUACAUGGGGGGCCAAAGACCCACUUGAGGAGGCAGUCUGUCCUUUAUCAGAGCUCAAACGCCGUGCUGGGAGAUCCGCUGCUGUCUUCAGAGCUAUCAGGCAGGGACGGUUAAGUCUGCUGAAGCUGCUCCCACAGCCGCCUCUUCCCCCAGGUGCUCUGUCCCAGGGAGAUGGGGGUUUUAUCUAUAAGUCCCUGAUUGGGGCUGCUGCCUUUUUUUCAGAGAUGCCCAGCCUAGAGAGGAGGAAUCUAGAGAGGCAGUCUGGCCGCAGUGGCCUUGCUGAGCUGUGGUGGGCUCUGCCCAGUUCAGACUUUCCGGCAGCUUUGUUUACAUUGUGAGGGUAAAACCGCCUACUCAAGCCUCAGCAAUGGCGGAUGCCCCUCCCCCCACCAAGCUCAAGUGUCCCAGGUCGACCUCAGACUGCUGUGCUGGCAGUGAGAAUUUCAAGUCCAUGGAUCUUAGCUUGGUGGGCUCCGUGGGGGUGGGACCCCCCAAGCCAGACCACUUGGCUCCCUGGCUUCAGCCCCCUUUCCAGGGGAGUGAACAGUUCCGUCUUACGGGUGUUCCAGGUGCCACGGGGGUAUGAAAAAAAAACUCCUGCAGCUAGCUCGGUGUCUGCCUAAACGUCCACCCAGUUUUGUGCUUGAAACCCAGGGCCCUGGUGGCGUAGGCACUGGAGGGAAUCUCCUGGUCUGCCGGUUGUGAAGACUGUGGGAAAAGCACAGUAUCUGGGCCAGAGUGCACCGUUCCUCAUGGCACAGUCCCUCACAGCUUCCCUUGGCUAGGGAGGGAAAUCCCCCAACCCCUUGCACUUCCCUGGUGAGGUGACGCCCCACCCUGCUUUCUCUUGCACUCUGUAGGCUGCACCCACUAUCCAACCAAUUCCAGUGAGAUGAAGUGGGUACCUCAGUUGGAAAUGCAGAAAUCACCUGCCUUCUGUGUCGAUCUCGCUGGGAGCCGCAGGCCAGAGCUGUUCCUAUUUGGCCAUCUUGCCAGCAAAUCCCUAAUUUUUGCAUUUUUAAUGGAGAUGAGGUUUCACCAUGUUGGCCACCUGGUCUGGAACUCCUAACCUCAGAUGUCUCUCCUACACAUAUGAUCAAGGAAUUACCACCAAAAGAGAACAAUAGCACAGGAAAAGUAUUCCAAGCAGUGAUGUUGGAAAGACAUGAAAUCCAUGACAUCCAAGAUUUUUACUUCAGAGAAAUGCAGCAAAAUAUUCAUGACUUUGAGUGUCAGUGUCACAAUGAUGAGAGAAAUUACAGAGAAAUACCUGCAAUUAAAAUUAAAAACAUCACUGGAAGAAGAGAUCAAGGUGAUGGAAGGAAUGCAGGAAAUAAGCCAGUUGAAAAUCAGCUUGAACUAAGCUUUUGGUUGCAUCUGGCUGAACUGCAGGGAUUUCAAAUUGAAAGGAAAAUUUAUGAAUGUAAUCAAAUUGAGAAGUCUGUCACCCGUGGGUCCUCAGUUUCAUUACUUCAAACAAAUCUUCCUUGUGUCAACACCAGCAUUUCUAAUAUAUACAGGAAUGAUUUUAUGCAUCCUUCAUUACUCACACAAGACCAGAAAGCAUACAUUAGGGAAAAACCUUACAAAUGUAGUGAUUGUGGCAAGGCCUUUAAUCAGAGGUCCAACCUUACUACACAUCAGAGAAUCCAUACUGGACAGAAACCACAUAAAUGUGACAUAUGUGGCAAAGGUUUCAGGCGAAUUGCAAACCUAGCAAGUCAUCAUAGAAUUCAUACUGGAGAGAAACCUUACAGAUGUAAUGAGUGUGGCAAGACCUUCAAUCAGACGUUCAACCUUACUACACAUCAGAGAAUCCAUACUGGACAGAAACCAUAUAAAUGUGAUAGAUGUGGCAAAGGUUUCAGGCAAAUUGGAAACCUAGCAAGUCAUCAUAGAAUUCAUACUGGAGAGAAACCUUACAGAUGUAACGAGUGUGGCAAGACCUUUAACAGGAUGUUCCACCUUACUAGACAUCAGAGAAUCCAUACUGGACAGAAACCAUAUAAAUGUGAUAUAUGUGGCAAAGGUUUCAGGCAAAUUGCAAACCUAGCAAGUCAUCAUAGAAUUCAUACUGGAGAGAAACCUUACAAAUGUAGUGAUUGUGGCAAGACCUUUAAUAAGAUGACCAACCUUACUACACAUCAGAGAAUCCAUACUGGACAGAAAACAUAUAAAUGUGAUAUAUGUGGCAAAGGUUUCAGGCAAAUUGGAAACCUAGCAAGUCAUCAUAGAAUUCAUACUGGAGAGAAACCUUACAGAUGUAAUGAGUGUGGCAAGACCUUCAAUAGGAUGUUCCACCUUACUAGACAUCAGAGAAUCCAUACUGGACAGAAACCAUAUAAAUGUGAUAUAUGUGGCAAAAGUUUCAGUCAAAAUUCAUACCUUGAAAAUCAUCAGAGAAUUCACACUGGAGAGAAAACUUACAAGUUGUAAUUAGUGUGGCAAAGCCUUUAGCGUGCGCUCAAACCUAACUAAACAUCAGGUCAUCCAUAAUGGAGAGAGACCUUAUAAAUGUAAUGAGUGGGACAAGGCUUUUUUUUCAGAGUUCAAAAUUGUAAAACAUCACAGGAUUCAUUCUGGAGAGAAACAAAACAAAAGUAAUGAAUGUAGUAAGGCAUUUAUUCAAAAUUCAAGUCUGGUGGACCAUCAGAGAACUCACACUGGAGAGAAACCUUACAAGUGUAAUGAGUGUGGUAAAACCUUUAUUGGGCAUUCAAGCCUAACUAACCAUCAGGUAAUUCAUACUGGAGAGAAACCUUACAAAUGUAAUGAGUGUGGAAAGGCUUAUGUGAAGUGGUCCCACCUUAGACAUCAUGAGAGUAUUCAAACUGGAGAGAAGCCAUACAAAUGUACCAAAUGCAGCAAGGCCUUUAGACAAUGGGCGGACAUCAGGAUUCACCAAAAAAUCUAUGCUGGAGAGAAACCUCACAAGUAUGAUGAGUGUGGAAAAACCUUUACCCAGGCCUCUCACCUCACUAUACAUCAGAUUAUCCAUACUGGAGAGAAACCAUAUGAAUAUGACAUAUAUGGCAAAGUCUUCAGUCAAAAUUCACAUUUCAAAAGUUAUCAUAGGAUUUGUACUGAAGAGAAGCCUUACAAAUGUGUGUGGCAAGGUCCUCAGUCAAAAUUCACACCUUGUAAAUCAUCAGAGAAUUCAUACUGGAGAGAAAUCCUACAGAUGUCAUGAAUGUGGCAAAGCCUUUACUCAAGGCUCACGCUUCAUUAAUCAUCAGAUAGUUCAUACUGGAGAGAACUUUCCAAAUGUACUGAAUGUAGCAAGGCUUUUAAGAAUGGCCCUAAACUCAGGACUCACCAAAUAGAUCAUACUUGUAAAUGCAAUGAAUGUAGCAGUGUUUUAAAGUAGUGCUUGCUACUCAUUAGAUAAGAGUAUCUAAUAUAUCUUGGGGCAAAGGCACACAAAUGCAAUGUCUGUGACAAGGAUUUUAUCUGAGGAUCAAAAGUUGGGGAACAGAAUAAUUCGUACUGGGGAGAAACCUUAGAAAUCCAAUGAGCAUGGGAAAAACUUUACCAUGAGUUCAAGUACUACAAGACAUCAGAGAGUUCAUAUUGAAGAGAAACCAUGUAAAUAUAAGAUGGAGUCUUGCACUGUCGCCCAGGUUGGAGUGCAUUGGCCCGAUCUUGGCUCACCACAACCUCCGCCUCCUGGAUUCCAGCAAUUCUGCCUCAGCCUCCCAAGUAGCUGGGACUACAGGCGCGUGCCACCACACCCGGUUAAUUUUUUGUAUUUUUUAGUAGAUACGGGGUUUCACCAUAUCGGCCAGGCUGGUCUCGAACUCCUGACCUCGUGAUCUGCCUGCCUCAGCCUCCCAAAGUGCUGGGAUUACAGGCUUGAGCUCCUGCGCCCAGCCCAUGCUAAGUCUUUUACCCAGUGGUCAAAACUGGCACAACACAGGAUUUAUACUGGAGAGCAACCUCACAAAUGUAAUGAAAGUGGUAAGGCUUUUUAUCAAAUGUCCUUGUCUUUGGGGUCAUGAGAAAAUUCAUACAGAAUCUAUUAAAAAUGUACUAAACAUGGAAAGACCUUUAAGCAACAGUGAUGUGAUGAAGGUGGUAGUUUUUUAAAUGAACUCCCAUAAGAGUCUACACACCAUAGAACUCAUACCAGGAAUCACAAAGUCUCUAAAUUUCCAAAGUUAACUGGAAAUAUUACAAACUGCAGAAUAAUUCCAGGCCAAAAUAUGUUAAAUUCAUAACAUGAUGUAUAUCAAAGGAAAAAAGGACAUGUGGAAAUGACACAUUAUCUUCAGUGUAUAAAAUAUUCAUUUAUGUGAAGUUUCUUGGAAAGGCUACACUACUAUUACUGGUUUCCGUCUGAUGUUUGAGAUCUGUUGAUUUUAUGCUUUUCUUACAGGCCUUUCAUUAUGAUCUUUGGGAAGGAAUCAAUAAAAUGAUAGGGCCUACUUCAUUAGGUGUGGUUCAUUCCUAUUCAUGCUCCCUGGAAGAACAAGAAUGCUGAAUUUUGAAAUUUAAUAUUGUAUGAAUUAGCAUCAGGGAGAGGUGGAGAAAAAUACAAAACUAAAAGUCAUGCUUAUUGUGUUCAGUGUGCCCUUCUCCAGAGGGCCACUGGCUUAUAGGAAAGGAUUGCUGCUCUACCAGUUGACCAGGAGAUGGCACGCCAGGACAUUAAGACACUGGAGUUUUGUUUCGUUUUUUUUUUUUUUUUGAGAUGGAGUCUCGCUCUCUUGACAGGCAGGAGUACAGUGGUGCGAUCUCGGCUCACUGCAAACUCCGCCUCCCGGGUUCAAGUGAUUCUCCUGCCUCAGCCUCCCGAGUAGCUGGGACUACAGGCGUGUGCCACCACCCCCAGCUAACUUUUGUAUUUUUAGUAGAGACAGGGUUUCACCAUGUUAGCCAGGAUGGUCUCAAUCUCUUGACCUCAUGAUCCGCCCGCCUCCGCCUUCCAAAGUGCUGGGAUUACAGGCGUGAGCCAGUGUGCCCGGCCGACACUGGGCUUUUUAUGAGAGUGACAGAUUACUAGGACCUCAUUAUGUGGUAGAAGUAAUGUAGGGGAAAUGGCGAUUAUCUUUUUUUAAAAGCAAUAGCUGUUGUAUAUCAAUGAUAAAUGAAAAAUUAGUUAUUCUUGUAAAUUGAAGAAAGAAUGGUUAUCAUAGAGGGUAGUUCAAGUAAAAGAACCAGGGCUGGGUGUGGUGGCUCACGUUCUGUAAUCCCUGUACUUUGGGAGGCCAAGGCAGAUGGAUCUCUUGAGGCCAGGAGUUCGAGACCAGCCUGACCAACAUGGCAAAACCGUGUCUCUACAAAAAAUACAAAAAUUAGCCGGACAUCGUGGUAGAUGCCUGUAAUCUCAGAUAUUCAGGAGACCGAGGGGAAAAUCACUUGAACCCGGGAGACGGAGGUUGCAGUGAGCUGAGAUCGCACCACUGCUCGCCAGCCUGGGCAACAGAGUGAGACUCUGCCUCAAAAAAAAACCAAACCAAACCAAAGAACCAGAAUAGCAUGUGCACAUAUACACAGACGUUUCACAACUGGCAUUAUGUUUUGCUACUGUUUUAUUUACAAUGUAUCACAAGUUUUAUGCUUUAAUAAAAUUUAAUCAUAACUUCUAAUGAAUCAUGUUUCUUCUGCCACCACAGUUUUAUCUCACCUCAGUUGGGUAUUUCAUAACAGAUAGUAAUAGUGCACCAUUAGGCUCUCUAGGUUGAAGGAGUCUUGCAGGGGAACAUGAGGUUUGUGCUUUAACUGUGGCAACUGACAUCCAGUAUCCUCCCCUUUAAUUUGUUCUCAUCCAAAACUAAUCCAUCUGUUUUUCUUUAAUAAGUGAUUUUUCAAGUUUGCACUUACUUUUUCCUUUACAUUACACUUUAAGUAAGAGUCACUGUUAUUAGUGCUUUAUGUGUAAUAACAACCUGUGAGAUAAGUACUGAUGUUAUUCACAUAUCACAAACGAGGAAACUUAGGGCCAAGAUGCUUUAAGGACUCAUCCACAUCCCUGUAAGUGGGUGAAUCAGGAUUCACGUUUGGCUGCAAAGAUGAGUGAUAUAGUUUGGAUCUGUGUCCCUGCCCAGAUUUCCUGUCAAAUGGUAAUCCCCAGUGUUGGAGGUGGGACCUGAUGGGAGGUGAUUGGAUCAUGGGGGCAGAUUCCCCUGUGGUGCCGUUCUUGUGAUGGUGAGUUCUCAUGAGAUCUGGUUGUGUAAAAGUGUGUGGCACCUCCCCCUCUCUCUCUUCCUUCUGCUCUGGUCAUGUGAAGUGCCUGCUCCCACUUUGCCUUCCGCAAUCAUUCUAAGUUUCCUGAGGCCUACUCAGGAGCUGAGCAGAUGCCAGCAUCAUACUUCCUGUACAGCAUGCAGAACUGUGGCCAAUUAAACCUCUUUUCUUCAUAAAUUACCCAAUAUCAGGUAUUUACCCAAUAUCAGGUAUUUCUUCAUAGCAGUGCAAGAAUGGACCAAUACAAUGAAUGUGUUAACCAUGGCGAUCCACUAACAUGGCUAGUUUUCUUUUCUUUCU
rnacentral:lncRNA from 1 species